GUGGGGAAUAUUGGACAAUGGGCGCAAGCCUGAUCCAGCCAUGCCGCGUGAGUGAUGAAGGCCCUAGGGUUGUAAAGCUCUUUUGUGCGGGAAGAUAAUGACUGUACCGCAAGAAUAAGCCCCGGCUAACUUCGUGCCAGCAGCCGCGGUAAUACGAAGGGGGCUAGCGUUGCUCGGAAUCACUGGGCGUAAAGCGCACGUAGGCGGACUCUUAAGUCGGUGGUGAAAUCCUGGAGCUCAACUCCAGAACUGCCUUCGAUACUGGGAGUCUCGAGUUCGGGAGAGGUGAGUGGAACUGCGAGUGUAGAGGUGAAAUUCGUAGAUAUUCGCAAGAACACCAGUGGCGAAGGCGGCUCACUGGCCCGAUACUGACGCUGAGGUGCGAAAGCGUGGGGAGCAAACAGGAUUAGAAACCCGGGUAGUCC
rnacentral:rRNA from 1 species